GGCUCGGUAGUUUAGUGGGUAAAGCACUCAUCUAACAUACAAGUGUCGUGGGUUCGAAUGUCACCCGAGCAC
rnacentral:tRNA from 1 species